GCGCUCGCUUUGGCAGCACAAAUACUAAAACUGGAAUGAUACAGAGACUAGCAUGGCCCCCGUGGAAGCACCACACGCAAAUUCGCUAAGCAUUCCGUAUUUUU